rnacentral:rRNA from 1 species
UACGGAGGGUGCAAGCGUUAUCCGGAUUCACUGGGUUUAAAGGGUGCGUAGGUGGGCAGGUAAGUCAGUGGUGAAAUCUCCGGGCUUAACCCGGAAACUGCCAUUGAUACUAUCUGUCUUGAAUACCGUGGAGGUGAGCGGAAUAUGUCAUGUAGCGGUGAAAUGCUUAGAUAUGACAUAGAACACCAAUUGCGAAGGCAGCUCACUACGCGAAUAUUGACACUGAGGCACGAAAGCGUGGGGAUCAAACUGG